UACGAAGGGUGCAAGCGUUAAUCGGAAUUACUGGGCGUAAAGCGUGCGUAGGUGGUCUUUUAAGUCCGUUGUGAAAGCCCUGGGCUCAACCUGGGAAUGGCAGUGGAUACUGGAAGGCUGGAGUACGGUAGAGGAGGGUGGAAUUCCCGGUGUAGCGGUGAAAUGCGUAGAGAUCGGGAGGAACAUCAGUGGCGAAGGCGGCCCUCUGGACCAGUACUGACGCUCAUGUGCGAAAGCGUGGGGAGCAAACAGG
rnacentral:rRNA from 1 species